CCUGAGUUGCUGACAUACUCCACCUUAGAAGUGACAGCAGACAUCAACUGCAUGGAUUGAUUUGUUCUCUAGUUUUUGACCAAAGGAAUUUGUUUCCUGUGAUCUGACAACAUUGGAUGAAGAACUUAAUUGCCACAUGUAAAGACAGGUGAUUGUGGAAUUGUUAACACAACCUGAACAGGCAAAUGGGGUUUAGUUUAAUUUCAGAUCAAUGGCGUUUCCAGGAAUGCAA